CCGGUCUGUCGGAGAAGAAGGAUUAGACGCCGGAGAAGGAAGCUGACCGCCGCUGCACCGGAGCCACCUUUAACCUCCAAAAAAGGUAAAAAUUAUCUUACCUGCUCGAUAUUCAAUUCCGAGCACCUCUGUGGCCAUACCGAAGCAAAACAAAUGGCGGAUGAGGUGAAAACUACGGGUAGAGCCCGGCGGGAUGGUCGCGGUCCAAAACUCGCAACCUCCUCCGAUGAACCCCUUCCCAGUUCUCAUUUAGUGCUAUUUUUCUACCAUUGUGUUCACCAUUCUGUUUUUUAUAGGUUGACCAAAGAAGGAAUCCCAGCAGCGAAGGAGAGCUGGCAGAGCCGCCGCACCCAAAAAUCCCACC
rnacentral:lncRNA from 1 species